CAUCAGACUGAUUACUUUGGUCGGCUUGUCAAGGCUUUUAUUGUAAAUAACGUAGAAGUUUUAGUUUGAUAGUCAAAAGCAAUCCAAGUAGUUACCAUGUUUGGCUGCAUUCUGAUGACUGAGUUUUUGCAGUAUUCAUUUCAAAUGGCUUUUGAGGUACAUUGGACUGUCAUUCUUUCACCUCUCUUUUGCUUCUAAUGACAACCUUUCUUUUCUCCUAUAACACAUCGGUGCUUAAUCUUUUCCUAGAUGCCUUUGCUUCUAUAUAUUAAGAUACUGAUAUAACCUAUAAAUUGCAUCCGUACUUCUUCCAUCAC
rnacentral:lncRNA from 1 species